CACUAAACGGAUCAGUAAAUUUUAAAGGCUUCAUGUUACAAGCUUAUAAAGCGGGAACGAACACACCGAGUGGCACCUUCACCGUUACAAACUCUCAAGCACAAGGACUCACCUGCUCCGGAGUAGCUAAUAGUGCAGUUUCUCACACAUCAGGAAGUGGAAAGUCAUCAAUUCAAGUUAAAUGGUAGGCCCCUACAUCUGGACAGCUCAGCAAUGUAGAGUUCCGUGGAACAUUUGUUCAAGCUGUGUCAACUUUUUGGGUGGGUGUGAAGAGCUCUGCGAUAACAAACACGGGCACAUCAACACCUGUUACUG